AAAUUACAAAGGACAGUGAUUAUCCUAAUUUGUUGGCGAUGGAUGAUGACGAUGGUGUGGAGGACAGUGGAUUCUCAAGCAGCUUCUUACCGGAGCCCCUAAUCCACCACAUAUUCUCCUUCUUGCCUUUCCGGGAAGUCGUGAAGGCGGCUGCAGUGUGCAAGUCAUGGGCUCUGGCGUCCUCUUCUUUCCCGAUCCUCGACAUCAACACUGAUGAUUUUGUUGGCAAAUAAAGUUGCAGUUACUGCAGUACUAUCAAUUAGCCCUCCGUUAAUCAGGGAAAGGCUCGAGAGAAUGGCAGAGUUUGUGGAUGAGACCAUAACGAGAUUUCAACAGCAACGGUUAAAGAUAGACAAGCUCAAAUUCGACUUUCGGCAUUGCCUCCAGGAUGCCACCAAUGAUUGGGUCCGUCUGGUCAACAAAUGCAUAGGUAUUGCUCUCGAUAACAAUGUCGAAGAGAUAAGCCUUGUUUGUAGAUAUGGGAACCUCCCCCCACAUCUGCCGAUAUCAGAAAGGAUUCUCUCCGCCCCGUCGGUUAUUUCCUUGGAAUUAGCAGGUUUGGCUUUGGCUCCUUCCUCUAAUUCAACAAACCUCCAGUCUCUGCGGUCGCUCACUCUCGAACGUAUUUCUGUGGAUGAUGAGACUUUCAAGAGGCUCAUGAGCGCAUGCCACUCGCUCGAGUUUCUCUUUAUGGCACAAUGCACCGGCCUGACUAAAAUCAGGGUCUCUGGUCUUCGUAAUAUCAGGGCGGUUAAUCUUGCUGAAACAUUUUAUCCUGUCGAAAUAGAAGCUCCGAGUCUAGAAAGCUUUCACUACACAUUCUUUCCACUUGAAAUCGAAUCCCGAGUGUUUCUGUGCAUCACAGUCCAUAUCUCAAGAGGUUAGACUUGGUGAAUGUAACCAGAAGCGAUGAAUGGCUCGGAGAAUUCCUCUCUAGGUUCCCGGUGCUGGAAGACUUGGAUCUCAGCUACUGCAGCUCAUUGAGAAGGAUCAGAAUUUUAAAUCCAUUAGUUAAAAGUAUAAACAUUAGUGACUGUUGAGGACUGGCGGACAUCAAUCUCGAGACUCCAGAGCUAAGGUGGUUCAGGCUCUGUGCAAUGAGUCGGGUGUUGAUGCCUCUCAUAUGGACGAAGAAUCCACUGCCAUGUAGCAGCAAGUACUGGAAGGCCGAUCUACUGAUCGGCUCCUCUUGCCUGGUGAAACCAGCUGGUUGGUCUUAUGACCAUCUGAGGGAGCUCCUCGUCGAGUAUUGCAAAAUUUUUAAGUCUCUACGUCUAGAUGUAGCGACUCUGGUGUGCCGCCAUCCGUCCCCAUCAGAUAAGAAAAUUCAUCAAUCAUUUUAUGUCGAUAUUGUUCGUCAGUCUUACCUUUUGUCCUCCAGGAUUUCAGUUUUCGACUUCUUAGGGAAGAAAUCAAUAACAAAGAUAAAUGGGUGGCUUCAUUGGCAUGCAAUCCGAUGCAAUUAGCACCAGCUCCUUAUUAUCGUGAUGCAUCAACCUGCAGGCUAACUGAGGAGUUCACCCCCGAGAUCGACCCAAGUAGUGUAAAUGGCUUGCUUAUGACUCCUCAUCCCACUACUAUAACCGUAGUUGCAGGUUUGUCUGGUGAAGAUUUCUUACAGUUGCUCUGGAAGAAGGUUGCCGAAAGACAAGCUCAUCCUCUUCCGAGGCGCUGUAUCCAUUGUUGGCCAAACAUACUGAAAGAUGCGAAGAUUGAAAUAGUCACCAGAAGCAAUUAUCCAGAAACUAUACACAAGGGAACUUGAUUCCACGACAUUGUAACAUCUUUUAGUUUCAUUCCGUCCUUAGAUAUCACUUUUCUAUUUAGGCGUGGCGUCUGCGCUUUGCACGUUAUCGAUAUAUCUUAAUUUUGCACCCA